UCUCGCCCGUUGCGUGAUGGUUAAGGCCAUGACGCCUGUGCGACUUUUUAUCUGGUCCGUGCCGCUGGCUCACAAGGCCACCGCCAUGCGUACUCCGGAGACCGCGAGCACGUCGCUCGGCCGGUCCGGCGCAGUUGUCCGGCUGAGCAUUCGGCCGGGUGACGUGUAAAGCACGGAAUGACG
rnacentral:sRNA from 12 species